AGCAGUCGCCACGGGAAUACGAAGGGGGCUAGCGUUGCUCGGAAUUACUGGGCGUAAAGGGCGCGUAGGCGGACAGUUAAGUUGGGGGUGAAAGCCCGGGGCUCAACCUCGGAAUUGCCUUCAAUACUGGCUGUCUUGAGUAUGAGAGAGGUGUGUGGAACUCCGAGUGUAGAGGUGAAAUUCGUAGAUAUUCGGAAGAACACCAGUGGCGAAGGCGGCUCACUGGACUGGUAUUGACGCUGAGGUGCGAAAGCGUGGGGAGCAAACAGGAUUAGAUACCCGGGUAGUCCCUGUCUCUUAUAC
rnacentral:rRNA from 1 species